GAUGAACGCUAGCUCCAUGCUUAACACAUGCAAGUCGAGGGACCGGCGCAAGGGUGAGUAACAUGUAUACAACCUGCCCUUUACCAGGGGAAAGCCUUACGAAAGAAAGAUAAAUACCAGAUAUUAAGGAGGGGGAUGCGUUCCAUUAGGUUGUUGGUGAGGUCACGGAUCACGAAGCCUUCGAUGGCUAGGGGAUCGGAGAGGAAGGACCCCUGCAUUGGAACUGAGACCCGUUCCACACGCCUACGAGAGGCAGCAGUGAGUAAUAUUGGUCAAUUGGCGCUAGCCUGAAACAGCCAAGUAGUGUGAAGGAUGAAGGCUUAUGGGUCGUAAACUUCUUUUAUAUAUGAAUCUGUAUUAUAUGAAUAAGGAUCGGCUAACUCCGUGCCAGCAGCCGCGGUAAUUC
rnacentral:rRNA from 1 species